rnacentral:sRNA from 1 species
GCCGGGCAGUGGUGGCGCACGCCUUUAAUCCCAGCACUCGGGAGGCAGAGGCAGGCGGAUCUCUGUGAGUUCGAGACCAGCUUGGUCUACAAGAGCUAGUUCCAGGACAGGCUCCAAAACCACAGAGAAACCCUGUCUCGAAAAACCACAAAAAAAAAAAAAAAAAUUUUUUGUUUUUUGUAGCUUUGGAGCCUGUCCUGGAACUCACUUUGUAGACCAGGCUGGUCUCCAACUCAUGGAAAUCUGCCUAUCUCU